rnacentral:rRNA from 1 species
UACGAAGGGUGCAAGCGUUGUUCGGAAUUACUGGGCGUAAAGCGCGCGUAGGCGGGUCUGUAAGUCGAUUGUGAAAUACCUGGGCUUAACCCGGGAAUGGCAGUCGAAACUGCAGAUCUUGAAUGUCUGAGAGGAUGGCGGAAUAACCGGUGUAGUAGUGAAAUACGUAGAUAUCGGUUAGAACACCUGAGGCGAAGGCGGCUAUCUGGCGGUACAUUGACGCUGAUGCGCGAAAGCGUGGGGAGCAAACAGG